GGAUGAAGAACGCAGCGAAAUGCGAUAAGUAAUGUGAAUUGCAGAAUUCAGUGAAUCAUCGAAUCUUUGAACGCACCUUGCACCCUUUGGCAUUCCGAAGGGUAUGCUCGUUUGAGUGUCAUUGUACUCUCACACUUCCAAUUCUUUGGAUUGGGAGCGGUGGACUUGGGCGCUGCUGCUUUACUGUGGCUCACCUCAAAUGCAUUAGUGCAACCCUUGGUUAGACAUAGUACGGCGUGAUAAGUGUCUUCGCUGGCGCCUCACAUUUAGAGGGUGGCUGAUCAGGGGCUCUGUGCUUCAAACCGUCUUUGGACAAUGGCUGACAACUUGACCUCAAAUCGAGUAGGACUACCCGCUGAACUUAAGCAUAUCAAUAAGCGGAGGA
rnacentral:misc_RNA from 1 species